AAAAGGGGCUUCUGUCUGUCGCGAGUGGCACACGUAGGGCAGCUUGAUUGCUCUACGUGAGAAUCAACAUCAAGAGAUUUCAGAAGCAUAACUUUUUGGCAUCUGGGAAGCUGGUAAUUCUUAGUCCUGGUACCUGU